UACGGAGGAUGCAAGCGUUAAUCGGAAUUACUGGGCGUAAAGCGCGCGUAGGUGGUUCGUUAAGUUAGGAGUGAAAGCCCCGGGCUCAACCUGGGAAUUGCUUCUAAAACUGGCGAGCUAGAGUAUGGUAGAGGGUGGUGGAAUUUCCUGUGUAGCGGUGAAAUGCGUAGAUAUAGGAAGGAACAUCAGUGGCGAAGGCGACCACCUGGACUGAUACUGACACUGAGGUGCGAAAGCGUGGGGAGCGAACAGGAUUAGAUACCCUGGUAGU
rnacentral:rRNA from 1 species